GGGAAAGUUGAAAAGAACUCUGAAUAGAGAGUUAAAUAGUACGUGAAACUGCUUAGAGGUUAAGCCCGAUGAACCUGAAUAUCCNUUAUGAAAAAUUCAUCNUUAUACUUUUAAUAUUAUUUUAUUAAUAUUUAAAUGAUAGUGUGCNUUUUUUUCAUAUAAGGNCNUUGUAAUCUAUUAACAUAAUAUAAAAAUAUUUAUCAAAAGAUCNUUGGUUUUAAGUUUAUUCAAAUUAAUUUGCUUUUAGCUUAUUAACAUAAAAUAAAUACUAAUGAUUUGAUAAAGUGUUGAUAGAUUUUAUUAUAUAUAAUGCUAAAAUUCUUUAUUGAAUUUUNCNAUAAUUUUUUAAUCUAUAUGAUUUUAAUAUAUAUUGUAUGCAUUUAUAUGAUUAACAAUGCGAAAGAUUCAGGAUACCUUCGGGACCCGUCUUGAANCCCGGACCAAGGAGUCUAACAUAUGUGCAAGUCNUUGGGUUAUUUUAAACCUAAUGGCGUAAUUAACUUAACUAUAUUAAAAAUAUAUAUUUUUAAUGGGAUUAGUUUUUAGUCUAUAUUUCAAAAAAAAAUAGUCUAUUAAUUCAAUCCCGGGGCGUUCCAUAUAGUUAUGUAUAAUGAUAAUUUAUUAUUAUUUAUACCUCUAACUGGAGCGUACCUUGAGCAUAUAUGCUGUGAC
rnacentral:rRNA from 1 species